rnacentral:rRNA from 1 species
GACGAACGCUGGCGGCGUGCCUAAUACAUGCAAGUAGAACGCAGUUGCGCACGGGUGAGUAACGCGUAGGUCACUGCCUGGUAGCGGGGGAUAACUAUUGGAAGCGAUAGCUACUACCGCCUACUACCAGAUCGACCUGCGUUGUAUUAGCUAGUUGGUGGGGCAAAGGCUCACCAAGGCAACGAUACAUAGCCGAGUUGGGGGGGUGGUCGGCCACAAUGGGACUGAGAAACGGGCCAGACUCCUACGGGAAGCAGCAGGAGGGAAUCAUCGGCAAUGGGCGGAAGUCUGACCGAGCAACGCCGGGUGAGUGAAGAAGGGUUUCGGAUCGUAAAGCUCUGUUGUAAGAGAAGCGUUAUCUUACCAGAAAGGGACGGCUAACUACGUGCCAGCAGCCGCGGUAAUUC